CUGAUACAGGGCUUGAACCGUGAGAUCAUGACCUGAGCCAAAGUCAGAUGCUUAACCGACUGAGUCCCCCAGAUGCCCCACAAGUGCAGAUUUUGGUGCCAAAAUGUGGCUUUUCCUUGGGCUCCACUACUCACUUUCUGGAUGCCUCACCAUUCUGUUUCCUCCUCUGUAAAAUGGGGAUCAUGAAUCAUGCAGUUAUUAUGAGCAUUAACUGAAUUAAUCUUCGGCAUGAGUCAGUGCCUGGCACAAAGUACGUAUGCUAUUUGUCAUGUCAGCUACUUGAAUGAUAUCUCCGUGUGUGACUCCUACGCGGCCUCUUCCCUUUACUUAUUAUCCAUCCUCGCUGAGAGACAAGUUGUUGGCGUUCAUGGUGCCACUUCUGAAACGUGUUGGAAGGCCCAGCUAAUCAGGAUGAGGCUCGCCACCAGGCCUCAUGAGGGCCAUGGUCCACUCCCAUCAUAUUUUGAGCAGGUGUCUUAUGGCAGAAACUUUUCACUCCGAAUAAAAUCAUGUAAAAUGUGGCUGCUUAGUUUAAAUCAGAGGUGGGAUGUCCAGAAGCCCACCUAUUUGUGCCCCGUCUGUAGUACUGUCCCCAAUUUAUCCUUCUACAAAUCCACAGAGUCAUAAUCCUGUGUGCCAACCGAACUUCUAGCCAAAUUGUCAGUUGGAAUGAUUUGAGUUUCUUCUCUGGGUCCUGCCCUGUGUAUUUUAUAGUUUUAGGUGGAAGAAAAUUGAGGGCUAGCUGUCCUCAUUUUAGAUUCAACUACCACUUAUUGAACAUCUAAACAUCAUGCCACAAACUCUCAUUAUUAACCUGAAAAGUGUGCAUUGUAUUUUCAGAUGCAUCUAGUAAGCCUCAGAGAGUUAAGAUCCUUGCUCACAACAGAACCAUCAUGACUUCGAAACACUUCUUAAAAUGCUCUAGACUUUAUGCCCACCUUUUAGUGCAACUGAAAUCGGUCUCAACUUGCAUUUAUAUAAAACUCUGUUAUGUAAAAAAUUCUUUUACUUUUGAAAUGUUGGCAUUUGGUACUCAAAUAUCAUUUUUUUCUCCUCAAGUAUUUGUUCUCAAACUAGGCUUUUCCAGUUGACAAAAUUGAGUCUCUGAAGAUUGGUUGAAGACCACAGAACAAGUGAGAGACAUAACUAGGAUUCCAACCAGGUCAUCUGGCCUCAAGCCCAGGGUACCCAGCCCACCAUGACUCAGGUGAAGGUCUAAAGUCCACACCGCACUUUCCCAUACAGGCUGCUGCUUCUCAGAGGCCCUCCGCCUUCUCCAGAUCCUCUGCUGUUGUAUGUCCUCAUGGCACACAAAGGAGAGUCCAUUUAACCCAGUGACGAAGAUACUACAAUUUCCAGUGAGCAAAUGACAUAUGUAAUGGUCCAACAUAAAGACAGUAAUGCUCCUGUUAUUAACCCAGCUCACAAGGGACCAAGAGGAAUGAAGUUAAUAAGAAGGAACAAUCUGAAAGCUCUGGCUGAAAGGUAUUAUUUAAGCCACUGGAGAAAACUAUCCAAUUAUGGAUAAGGGAGUAGAACUGAUGUAAACUUGUGGGUUUUUUCCAUUUAUGUAAAUUAAUGGUAAGAGGUCUAGAACGUACAAUUUUCUUACUUACAUUUUAUUCUUUUGCUGGUAGAUAGAAAUAAAGGCACCCAGCUGCAAAAGAAAGUUGAGAAUAGUGGGACUGAAAUAGCUAUUCUUCUUGUUUCCUUGCCCUGUAGCUAGCCCGGUCUGUUAUUCACGCUGCACUUUCUGGCAGUGGCUUGCCCCCCCUCCACCCCCCCCCCCCCGCACGCACCCCGCCUCCCACACCAAGCAAUACCCAGUGCUCCGUGCGGUGUAAAGAUUCUUUGGAAGUGGUUUAGAUGAAUACAUAAUAAUUUUUCAUACAUUCAAAAUACUGUUUAUUCCUUGAACUCACAAGAGAGAAACUCUAAUCAUGGCAAUAUUAAGUACUAUAAUGAACCACAGGAUAGCAGAUGGGCCCUGGGGUAAACCUUUUCUGUACUAUUGAUUUACUUAUUUGGUUUCCUUGUAAAAUGUCCAUGACCUGAACCAUUGCUGCAGAAUACAAAUACAAGUUUCUGACCCAA